CUUUUUUUUUNAAUUCACACCUUAGAUUCAUCCAAAAUUCUGUGCUUCAACUCUGAAAGUGCUAUUAAUUUAUCAACCACAGCUUGACAUGGAGAUCGUACGGCCUCAUCAUUGUACGGAAAUUAGCCAUUCGUAAAGCUCCACUUUUUUUAUGGAGGUAAGCCUACCAACUUAUCAACGGAUUCUCCAGAUUUAUUGAUGCCCGAUGAUUUUAUUGAUAGCAUUAUCAACUGCUUCAUUGGCACUUCCGAGAGCAACAGUCGCGAAUGAACUGAUAGUAUCGAAAGAAUUGUUCAGAGCAUUUUCUCCUCUAUUGGUUGUAUUAGCAAUGGAUUCAUUCAAGUUCAGCAAAAAUAUCAAUAGCACUUGUUUUCAACAAAAUUAGAAUAGAAACAUUGGAAAAUUCAUCANNNNNNNNNNNNNNNNNNNNNNNNUUUCCACUAUAUACAUUCAAAAGCUACUCAUUUUUAGCUCCAUCAGCCAUUUCAACUCAGCUUCUUGAUGGAGUCGGACAAGGCUUUCCAAUACUGGUACUGCCAUAAAUUAAGACCUGCACACUGGACAUAAUCCAUCCAAGGAGAAACACCAUUCUUGAUCCAAAUCCGCACAGAUCCUCAAGCGCCAACGACUCCACUAUGUUGAAUACGCUUCUCAACCAGUCAACCAGAUAUGCUCCAACAUAAAUGGCUAAAGGCCAAAGAUCAAACAUACAAAAGUAACAGCCUAGUUGCCGUGAACCAAUCGACUAAUUAGCCUCCAUCAGAACAGAAGUCUCUUUCUUCACAUUGGGGAGGAAGGUGAUUUGGAGGAGAUGAAACCAUUUUUAAUUUCAAGUUUUUUUAUUUACAAAAUACAAAUUUUUGAUGAUGUGGCUAUAAUUUAUACAUUUUGCAUGCCACAUCAUUUUUCCAUAUACCACGAAAAUAUAUUUGUCCAUGUACACAAAUCAAAUUGGCUAUGGUGAUGGAUGAGUAAACUAAUUAAUAUUUCAAUAAGCAUUGGAUAACCAUUUAAUUUUCAAUGAACAAGUAGUAAUCAUGGAUAAAGUCUAUGGACCACUUAUUUAUUAAAAAAAGAAAAAAAAAUCAACCUUGAAGGCCCCCACCACCCCACACCCAGAGCCAGUCCUGCCAUGAGGCAAAUGAGGCUGGGGCCUCAGGCCCACA
rnacentral:lncRNA from 1 species